rnacentral:tRNA from 2 species
AGUUUAGUAGGUUAGUUAGACUGCUUGCUUUCAAAGUAAGAGGUGAUACUGUAUUUGGUCCUAGGCUG